UACGGAGGAUGCAAGCGUUACCCGGAAUGAUUGGGCGUAAAGCGUUUUAAGGUGGUUUGGUAAGUCUACUGUUAAAUAUCAGGGCUUAACCCUGAACAGGCAGUGGAAACUAGCAAGCUGGAGUACGGUAGGGGCAGAGGGAAUUUCCGGUGGAGCGGGUGAAAUGCGUAGAGAUCGGAAAGAACACCAACGGCGAAAGCACUCUGCUGGGCCGACACUGACACUGAGAGACGAAAGCUAGGGGAGCGAAUGGG
rnacentral:rRNA from 1 species